rnacentral:rRNA from 1 species
GNAUUUAUUGGGUUUAAAGGGAGCGUAGGUGGAUUGUNAAGUCAGUUGUGAAAGUUNGCGGCUCAACCCGUAAAAUUGCAGUUGAAACUGGCAGUCUUGGGUACAGUAGAGGUGGGCGGAAUUCGUGGUGUAGCGGUGAAAUGCUUAGAUAUCACGAAGAACUCCGAUUGCGAAGGCAGCUCACUAGACUGCAACUGACACUGAUGCUCGAAAGUGUGGGUAUCAAACAGGAUUAGAUACCCUGGUAGUCCACACAGUAAACGAUGAAUACUCGCUGUUGCGAUAUACAGUAAGCGGCCAAGCGAAAGCAUUAAGUAUUCCACCUGGGGAGUACGCCGGCAACGGUGAAACUCAAAGGAAUUGACGGGGGCCCGCACAAGCGGAGGAACAUGUGGUUUAAUUCGAUGAUACGCGAGGAACCUUACCCGGGCUUAAAUUGCAAAUGAAUAAUCUGGAAACAGGUUAGCCGCAAGGCAUUUGUGAAGGUGCUGCAUGGUUGUCGUCAGCUCGUGCCGUGAGGUGUCGGCUUAAGUGCCAUAACGAGCGCAACCCUUAUCUUUAGUUACUAACAGGUGAUGCUGAGGACUCUAGAGAGACUGCCGUCGUAAGAUGUGAGGAAGGUGGGGAUGACGUCAAAUCAGCACGGCCCUUACGUCCGGGGCUACACACGUGUUACAAUGGGGGGUACAGAAGGCAGCUACCUGGUGACAGGAUGCUAAUCCCAAAAACCUCUCUCAGUUCGGAUCGAAGUCUGCAACCCGACUUCGUGAAGCUGGAUUCGCUAGUAAUCGCGCAUCAGCCAUGGCGCGGUGAAUACGUUCCCGGGCCCUGUACACACCGCCCGUCAAGCCAUGAAAGCCGGGGGUACCUGAAGUACGUAACCGCAAGGAGCGUCCUAGGGUAAAACUGGUAAUUGGGGCUAAGUCGUAACAAGGUAGCAAUCACUAGUGAAUUCGCGGCCGCCUGCAGGUCGACCAUANGGGAGAGCNCC